ensembl:snRNA U1 U1 spliceosomal RNA
AGACACCUGGCAGGGGAGACACCAUGAUCCUGAAGGUGGUUUUCCCAGGAUGAGGCUUAUCCAUUACACUGAAGAUGUGUUGACCCCUACAAUUUCCCUAAAUCAUGCAGUGAUAAACUUAACUGCAUAGUUUAUGGUAAUUGGGUACUGU